rnacentral:lncRNA from 1 species
UCAGAUAAACAGAUCUAAAAUUAUGGAGCAAAUUCAGAUUAGCAAGCAAGGCUAGAUCAAAUUCAAAGUGUUUUUUAGACUAGCAAGAAAAAUUGAUAGCACAAUUCACAGUCAUCAAAAUGCUAAGCUUUAAAAAAAUGCCAACUGAGUAGCCAGCCAUUCCAACAAAGUAAAAACAUUCUAAUAAGAUUGGAGUAGAUCUAGAUUCUGAUCACACAUGUUAUCAGUAACCAUUUGUGUAGUGUAAAUUAGAUUUCUGAUUAACUGCAUCUUACCCAACUGGAAUGAUAAAAAUUUUCACAGUAAGAAUUUCUACUGUAUGAUGAUACCUCUUAAUUACCUCUGGAAGAAGUUUAGCUGAGCAGUAGUUCUUGAACUGUUGAACCCUAGUUGUGUUGUGCAGGAAAAAAGAAUCUGGCAUUUAAAAAAAUUCAGUGUAGGGGUAUUAGUUUUCUACAAUUGAACUCAAAAUACCCAUCUUUAUUUUCAAUGGGGAAGAAAAGUAAUUACCCACCCUGUCCAUUGGACAUGCAAAUAAGUUGCUUAUAGACUUCAGGGGAUGGAAGAGUUAUCCUAUCAGAAAAGAAAAUAAGACAUAGGCCCUUUGAGAUGCCCGUAAUCUGGUACUCUGAUUCAGAUCUUUGAUUCAGGUUUUUAUAUAUGUGUACAGGAUAAACAAGAAACUUUUUUUUUUUUUCAGAAAAAAAUGUAAGUUUUAUUUUUAAAAAACUCUGCUUUAGCAGUGAGAGGAAAAGUGGAAUCAUUUAUCCCAACUACUAGUAAUUUGUUCAGAGCUUUUAAUAGCUUUGAAAACAGUCUGAAACUUUGGAAGGGUUAUUGUUGUUAAUUUAUAUUAUUUUAAAAUUAUUAUUAAUGUUCACACUAGCCAUU